UACGGGGGGAGCAAGCGUUGUUCGGAAUUACUGGGCGUAAAGGGCUCGUAGGCGGCCAACUAAGUCGGACGUGAAAUCCCUCGGCUUAACCGGGGAACUGCGUCCGAUACUGGAUGGCUUGAGUUUGGGAGAGGGAUGCGGAAUUCCAGGUGUAGCGGUGAAAUGCGUAGAUAUCUGGAGGAACACCGGUGGCGAAGGCGGCAUUCUGGACUGCAACUGACACUGAAAGACGAAAGCCAGGGGAGCAAACGGG
rnacentral:rRNA from 1 species